UGGGCGUAAGCGCGCGCAGGCGGUUUCUUAAGUCUGAUGUGAAAGCCCACGGCUCAACCGUGGAGGGUCAUUGGAAACUGGGGAACUUGAGUGCCGAAGAGAAAAGCGGAAUUCCACGUGUAGCGGUGAAAUGCGUAGAGAUGUGGAGGAACACCAGUGGCGAAGGCGGCUUUUUGGUCUGUAACUGACGCUGAGGCGCGAAAGCGUGGGGAGCAAACAGGAUUAGAUACCCUGGUAGUCCACGCCGUAAACGAUGAGUGCUAAGUGUUAGAGGGUUUCCGCCCUUUAGUGCUGCAGCUAACGCAUUAAGCACUCCGCCUGGGGAGUACGGUCGCAAGACUGAA
rnacentral:rRNA from 2 species